AACUUUUGGCAACGGAUCAUUUGGCUCUCGCAUCGAUGAAGAACGCAGCGAAAUGCGAUACGUAAUGUGAAUUGCAGAAUUCAGUGAAUCAUCGAAUCUUUGAACGCACAUUGCGCUCUCUGGUAUUCCGGAGAGCAUGCUUGUUUGAGUAUCAGUAAAACACCCUCAAUUCUCUCGUUUUUCGAGGAAAUUGGACUUGAGUGAUCCCAACGGCGGCUUUAAAAACUGCUGGCGGGCCACUUGAAAUGCAGGUGCGGCUGGACACAUCUUCUGAGCUAUAAGCAUUACUUAUUUAAUCCCGUCAAACGGAUUAUUUCUAUUGCUGCAGCUAACAUAAAGGUUGAUUGUCCUUGUGCCCGACUGAUGCAGGAAAACAAAGAGAAAAUCUUUGUUCAACUCGAUCUCAAAUCAAGUAAGACUACCCGCUGAACUUAAGCAUAUCAAUAAGCGGAGGCU
rnacentral:misc_RNA from 1 species